rnacentral:lncRNA from 1 species
GUAGAAGGGAGGGGAUGGGGGAGGUGAUGAGGGGAGAGGAUUGGGGGGUGCAUCCUCCCCUUGCAAGUGAUCGUGUGACAUCACAUCCACAGAGACCUCCGAGGGUGGGGAGGGGACGGAGAAAUGAAGCUGCCUGAAUAAGCCAGGGUGUCUAAUAUGUCUCCCCGGCCAGGUACUGAAUGGCCUGGCCCCUCAAACACACGGAAAAGUGGCCUGAGGCCUCCCACUGAUGUUUGAAGAUCAGUCCCUUUGAGGCUUUUUUUUUUCCUUUUUAUAAAAUAAAUCAGCAGCUUCCAUUAAGAACAUGGACCCUGCAUGUUUUCUAGGUUCAUUUUCUGAAAGCAAACCUCUAUUUUAUGGUCUUUCGGUUUGAUGUGAAGUCAUUGGAAGGACCGUUAAAGGAGAAAGUGGACUUUGGGUGGCUGAGGCGAGCGGAUCACCUGAGGUCGGCAGAUCACCUGAGGUCAGGAGUUCGAGACCAGCCUGUCCAACACGGUGAAACCUGUCUCUGCUAAAAAUACAAAAAUUAGCUGGGCAUGGUGGUGGGUGCCUGUAAUACCAGCUACUUGGGAGGCUGAGGCAGGAGAAUCCCUUGAACCCGGGUUCAAGGGAUUCUUGAGGUUGCAGUGAGCCGAGAUCUCGCCACUGCACUCCAGCCUGGGUGACAGAGCCAGACUCCAUCUCAAAAAAAAAAAAAAAAAAAAAAAAAAAAAGGAGAAAGCAGAGGGUGAAAUUGAUUUUUUUUUCCCCUAAGAAGGUGGAGGUUUCUCGGUUUUGCUGAUAAGUGCCACAUCCUCCCGAUGCAUGGAAGCAUCCUGGGACCCUCACCUGUGCGUCCUAACAGCUUCCCAGGCUCCUAGGGGAUCCACCUGGUGGCACAGAGACCAAGGCGCUGCUGCGGAACUAACGCUAAGACGCUUCCCAGGGCCCCCGUCUCUCACAGGGGUCAGGCAGACCUGACCUUUUCCUCUCCCCAGAGGGUAUCAAGGGAACUGGGGAGGGGGUAAAAGAGUGAGCGGCCUUGAAAUGCCAUCUGAGGAUCAUCAGCUGUGUAUCGAGGCAGCAGAUUCCUGGGAGUGGCUCCAGCUAUCCUGACUCUGUGGGUCUGUCGGAGGCCGGGGAAUGUGCAUUCUUUUACAGGCUCUCUGAGGAUUCCCAUCAGCGGCCAGGCUAGGAGCUGCGCCUUGUGGGUGUUAAGACAGACGGCUGUGGCCCCAGAUGUGGGCCCCAUUGCCAGCCACAGCAGCUCUUUCAGAAGUAAACACUCUAGAAGGAAAACUGCCAAUCCGGUUUCCCCAGGGUGUGUGAGCUGCGUCCUUGCAGCUGGAGGCGGGGGUGGGCAGGGGAUGGGAGAGUUGCCAGCUCCCCUAAUUUUGCAGGAGGUCCACACUGAGACCCAGGAAAACAAAAGCGUCCCUGGGUGCGGUGAGUGAUGUUCCUGCCAGCUGCUCCCUCAUCUGAGAGUCAGAGUGAAUUACCCACAUCAGCACCCGGGCAGGAAGCUCUGAUCCAUGAGCCGACACCGUCCGGCACCUAGGGACUUGGAUCUGUCCCGGAGCCCUGUGAGAGUGGUCAGCCUCCAGGCUGUGCAGAAACCCCAUGGAGGCGUAGCAGGGAGCCAGAGGUUCCUGGGAUUUGGGGACACAGGCUGAAAAUCUACCUCAAACUGGAAUAUUUACAUGAAACUAACAGCGAGUCACAGAUUUGGGACUUCUCCGAACAUUAAGUAUAAACUGUUUGGCUUAUGGUACAAUACACAGAACAGCUGAAUCCAUCUGUGGCUCCUCUGCAUUUAGGAGAAUUGCAGACGUAAGACACAUCUUCCCACACACACCGAGACCCCGGAGCAGCCAGCUUCUCCAUCAGGUGACGAUGAACACAUCCUCCCACACAUGCAGAGACCCCGGAGCAGCCAGCUUCUCCAUCAGGUGACGAUGAACACAUCUUCCCACACACACAGAGACCCCGGAGCAGCCAGCUUCUCCAUCAGGUGACGAUGAACACAUCCUCCCACACACGCAGAGACCCUGGAGCAGCCAGCUUCCCUAUCAGGUGACGAUGAACACAUCUUCCCACACACCCAGAGACCCCGGAGCAGCCAGCUUCUCCAUCAGGUGACGAUGAACACAUCUUCCCACACACACAGAGGCCCCGGAGCAGCCAGCUUCUCCAUCAGGUGACGAUGAACACAUCUUCCCACACACAGAGACCCCGGAGCAGCCAGCUUCUCCAUCAGGUGACGAUGAACACAUCUUCCCACACACACAGAGACCCCGGAGCAGCCAGCUUCUCCAUCAGGUGACGAUGAACACAACUUCCCACACACACCGAGGCCCCGGAGCAGCCAGCUUCUCCAUCAGGUGACGAUGAACACAUCUUCCCACACACACCGAGGCCCCGGAGCAGCCAGCUUCUCCAUCAGGUGACGAUGAACACAUCUUCCCACACACACCGAGGCCCUGGAGCAGCCAGCUUCUCCAUCAGGUGACGAUGAACACAUCUUCCCACACACACAGAGGCCCCGGAGCAGCCAGCUUCUCCAUCAGGUGACGAUGAACACAUCUUCCCACACACACAGAGACCCCGGAGCAGCCAGCUUCUCCAUCAGGUGACGAUGAACACAUCUUCCCACACACACAGAGACCCCAGAGCAGCCAGCUUCUCCUUCAUCGGGUGACGAUGAUAAACGUGGCAGUGGCUCCUUUUUCGGGAACACCGAUUACAUACCAGAUUAAUGCCCGGGCAUGAUCUCUGCAACUGGCUGAGGAUCCUAUGAUGCAGAUGUUACAAUUCCCACUUUAUGAAUAAAGAAGCAAGGCUCAGCGAGAGAGGCUGGGUGGGAGCCUGCACCUGAGCUCCCCAACCCCUCGGGUUCACCCACCUCCGCAGAUCCUGUAACUUCCUCCUAGUUCCAGGCUUCUCUCUAGGAUCCGCGCAACAGGUGUACAACCCUCCAUUCCAAAUUCCAAAACCCACAACGCUCUGAAACUCAAAAGGUUUUUUUAUAACUCAUUUGGUGGCGAAGGCUGAGCUGACUUGAGCUAACCUGGCAGCUUACCCCUAGGGGCCUUGAGGUGGCUUACAAGGUUAAGCUCUGCGUAAACUAAAACGGAAGAAAAGAGAACAAAGAUCAUCUGAAGGAAGCCAAAGGAAUCUCCAUGAUUAGCCCCUGAAUUGGGUUUGUUACUUCUUUAG